CUUCUACACGAUGGGAAUCUGCAGAAUGUAAGGCGGAGAGGCGGAGGGGUUGUUAGCAGAGAGAGGUGAGGAGGGCGUGCGUUGGCGCGAAGCCUAGGAGGGAGGAGAGGUGGCAGGCUAGGAAGGGAAUAUGGAAAGGAGGACCGCGGCAAGGCUAACAGGCAGACGUGAGAGAGAGGGAGAGGGAGGCGAGCAGGCGAAAGAAGGAAAAAAAAAAGAAAUAUUGAGAGAGAGGAGAUGGAGGGGCAGAUAGGAUGGAGGGAAGGGGAAUCGAUAGAAAGCAGCAGUUCAUCACAGUUAAGAAGAGAGAGAAAUUUGAUCCCAUUAAAAAAAUUAUUCUGUAAAUUUAUAA
rnacentral:lncRNA from 1 species